UACGGAGGGUGCGAGCGUUGUUCGGAAUCACUGGGCGUAAAGGGCGUGUAGGCGGUUUGCUAAGUCUGAUGUGAAAGCCCGGGGCUUACCCCCGGAAGGGCAUUGGAAACUGGCAGACUCGAGUCUCGAAGAGGAGGGUGGAAUUCCUGGUGUAGCGGUGAAAUGCGUAGAUAUCAGGAGGAACAUCGGAGGCGAAGGCGGCCCUCUGGUCGAUGACUGACGCUGAGACGCGAAAGCGUGGGGAGCAAACAGG
rnacentral:rRNA from 1 species